rnacentral:rRNA from 1 species
GGUUAAGCGACUAAGCGUACACGGUGGAUGCCCUGGCAGUCAGAGGCGAUGAAGGGCGUGCUAAUCUGCGAUAAGCGCCGGUAAGGUGAUAUGAACCGUUAUAACCGGCGAUACCCGAAUGGGGAAACCCAGUGUGACUCGUCACACUAUCAUUAACUGAAUCCAUAGGUUAAUGAGGCGAACCGGGGGAACUGAAACAUCUAAGUACCCCGAGGAAAAGAAAUCAACCGAGAUUCCCCCAGUAGCGGCGAGCGAACGGGGAGGAGCCCAGAGCCUGAAUCAGCAUGUGUGUUAGUGGAAGCGUCUGGAAAGGCGCGCGAUACAGGGUGACAGCCCCGUACACAAAAGCGCAUGUGCUGUGAGCUCGAUGAGUAGGGCGGGACACGUGGUAUCCUGUCUGAAUAUGGGGGGACCAUCCUCCAAGGCUAAAUACUCCUGACUGACCGAUAGUGAACCAGUACCGUGAGGGAAAGGCGAAAAGAACCCCGGCGAGGGGAGUGAAAAAGAACCUGAAACCGUGUACGUACAAGCAGUGGGAGCACAGGUUUACCUGUGUGACUGCGUACCUUUUGUAUAAUGGGUCAGCGACUUAUAUUCUGUAGCAAGGUUAACCGUAUAGGGGAGCCGUAGGGAAACCGAGUCUUAAUUGGGCGUUAAGUUGCAGGGUAUAGACCCGAAACCCGGUGAUCUAGCCAUGGGCAGGUUGAAGGUUGGGUAACACUAACUGGAGGACCGAACCGACUAAUGUUGAAAAAUUAGCGGAUGACCUGUGGCUGGGGGUGAAAGGCCAAUCAAACCGGGAGAUAGCUGGUUCUCCCCGAAAGCUAUUUAGGUAGCGCCUCGUGAAUUCAUCUCCGGGGGUAGAGCACUGUUUCGGCUAGGGGGCCAUCCCGGCUUACCAACCCGAUGCAAACUGCGAAUACCGGAGAAUGUUAUCACGGGAGACACACGGCGGGUGCUAACGUCCGUCGUGAAGAGGGAAACAACCCAGACCGCCAGCUAAGGUCCCAAAGUCAUGGUUAAGUGGGAAACGAUGUGGGAAGGCCCAGACAGCCAGGAUGUUGGCUUAGAAGCAGCCAUCAUUUAAAGAAAGCGUAAUAGCUCACUGGUCGAGUCGGCCUGCGCGGAAGAUGUAACGGGGCUAAACCAUGCACCGAAGCUGCGGCAGCGACNNNNNNNNNNNNNNNNNNNNNNNNNNNNNNNNNNNNNNNNNNNNNNNNNNNNNNNNNNNNNNNNNNNNNNNNNNNNNNNNNNNNNNNNNNNNNNNNNNNNUGCUGGAGGUAUCAGAAGUGCGAAUGCUGACAUAAGUAACGAUAAAGCGGGUGAAAAGCCCGCUCGCCGGAAGACCAAGGGUUCCUGUCCAACGUUAAUCGGGGCAGGGUGAGUCGACCCCUAAGGCGAGGCCGAAAGGCGUAGUCGAUGGGAAACGGGUUAAUAUUCCCGUACUUGGUGUUACUGCGAAGGGGGGACGGAGAAGGCUAUGUUGGCCGGGCGACGGUUGUCCCGGUUUAAGCGUGUAGGUGUGUGUUCCAGGUAAAUCCGGUUCACUUUAACACUGAGGCGUGACGACGAGGCACUACGGUGCUGAAGCAACAAAUGCCCUGCUUCCAGGAAAAGCCUCUAAGCAUCAGGUAACAUCAAAUCGUACCCCAAACCGACACAGGUGGUCAGGUAGAGAAUACCAAGGCGCUUGAGAGAACUCGGGUGAAGGAACUAGGCAAAAUGGUGCCGUAACUUCGGGAGAAGGCACGCUGACAUGUAGGUGAAGUGAUUUACUCAUGGAGCUGAAGUCAGUCGAAGAUACCAGCUGGCUGCAACUGUUUAUUAAAAACACAGCACUGUGCAAACACGAAAGUGGACGUAUACGGUGUGACGCCUGCCCGGUGCCGGAAGGUUAAUUGAUGGGGUCAGCGCAAGCGAAGCUCCUGAUCGAAGCCCCGGUAAACGGCGGCCGUAACUAUAACGGUCCUAAGGUAGCGAAAUUCCUUGUCGGGUAAGUUCCGACCUGCACGAAUGGCGUAAUGAUGGCCAGGCUGUCUCCACCCGAGACUCAGUGAAAUUGAACUCGCUGUGAAGAUGCAGUGUACCCGCGGCAAGACGGAAAGACCCCGUGAACCUUUACUAUAGCUUGACACUGAACAUUGAGCCUUGAUGUGUAGGAUAGGUGGGAGGCUUUGAAGUGUGGACGCCAGUCUGCAUGGAGCCGACCUUGAAAUACCACCCUUUAAUGUUUGAUGUUCUAACGUGGACCCGUAAUCCGGGUUGCGGACAGUGUCUGGUGGGUAGUUUGACUGGGGCGGUCUCCUCCUAAAGAGUAACGGAGGAGCACGAAGGUUGGCUAAUCCUGGUCGGACAUCAGGAGGUUAGUGCAAUGGCAUAAGCCAGCUUGACUGCGAGCGUGACGGCGCGAGCAGGUGCGAAAGCAGGUCAUAGUGAUCCGGUGGUUCUGAAUGGAAGGGCCAUCGCUCAACGGAUAAAAGGUACUCCGGGGAUAACAGGCUGAUACCGCCCAAGAGUUCAUAUCGACGGCGGUGUUUGGCACCUCGAUGUCGGCUCAUCACAUCCUGGGGCUGAAGUAGGUCCCAAGGGUAUGGCUGUUCGCCAUUUAAAGUGGUACGCGAGCUGGGUUUAGAACGUCGUGAGACAGUUCGGUCCCUAUCUGCCGUGGGCGCUGGAGAACUGAGGGGGGCUGCUCCUAGUACGAGAGGACCGGAGUGGACGCAUCACUGGUGUUCGGGUUGUCAUGCCAAUGGCACUGCCCGGUAGCUAAAUGCGGAAGAGAUAAGUGCUGAAAGCAUCUAAGCACGAAACUUGCCCCGAGAUGAGUUCUCCCUGAGACUUAGAGUCUCCUGAAGGAACGUUGAAGACGACGACGUUGAUAGGCCGGGUGUGUAAGCGCAGCGAUGCGUUGAGCUAACCGGUACUAAUGAACCGUGAGGCUUAACCUU